rnacentral:rRNA from 1 species
CUACGAGCGGCUGCAGUGGGGAAUAUUGGACAAUGGGCGAAAGCCUGAUCCAGCCAUGCCGCGUGUGUGAAGAAGGCCUUCGGGUUGUAAAGCACUUUCAGUGGGGAAGAAAGCCUUGGGGCUAAUACCCUCGAGGAAGGACAUCACCCACAGAAGAAGCACCGGCUAACUCCGUGCCAGCAGCCGCGGUAAUACGGAGGGUGCGAGCGUUAAUCGGAAUUACUGGGCGUAAAGCGCGCGUAGGCGGUCUGAUAAGCCGGUUGUGAAAGCCCCGGGCUCAACCUGGGAACGGCAUCCGGAACUGUCAGGCUAGAGUGCAGGAGAGGAAGGUAGAAUUCCCGGUGUAGCGGUGAAAUGCGUAGAGAUCGGGAGGAAUACCAGUGGCGAAGGCGGCCUUCUGGACUGACACUGACGCUGAGGUGCGAAAGCGUGGGUAGCAAACAGGAUUAGAUACCCUUGUAGUC